CACAUCUAUGCCCUCCAUAGGAACAGUGCUGUGUGGCCUGACCCAGAGGUCUUUGACCCACUGCGCUUUUCUCCUGAGAAUAUGACAGGACGGCAUCCCUUUGCCUUCAUGCCUUUUUCUGCAGGGCCCAGGAAUUGCAUUGGGCAGCAGUUUGCCAUGAACAAGAUGAAGGUGGUCAACAGCUCUCUGUUUGCUGUGCUUUGAAAUCUCUCAGGAUCCCUUAAAGAUCCCCAUUAAGGUCCCCCAGUUGAUCUUGGGCUCCAAAAAUGGCAUCCACCUCUACCUGAAGCCACUGGGCCCUGGGUCUGGAAAGUAGGUCUUAGGAGAGCAAGAAUAUGGAGUCAUUGUGGAUCCCUGCCUGUGGGGGGCUUGUGAGAUAAAAGCAUGCACAUUGAGAGUAUCCUGGAAGACAUUCUCUUGUAAACAUGUGUGUGGAAUGAUUCAAUGCCUGGUCUCUAGAACUCAUUCCUUCACUCCAAAAACAUUUGCUGCCUUGAGAAACUUAAUUUAUUAUAACUGCAUUUAUUUAGCCAUCUCAGUGUGCAUUUGGGAUAUAAUAGACAU